rnacentral:rRNA from 1 species
CCUACGGGACGCAGCAGUGGGGAAUAUUGCACAAUGGGGGAAACCCUGAUGCAGCGACGCCGCGUGGGUGAAGGAGUACCUCGGUACGUAAAGCCCUAUCAGCGGGAAAGAAAAUGACGGUACCUGACUAAGAAGCCCCGGCUAACUACGUGCCAGCAGCCGCGGUAAUACGUAGGGGGCAAGCGUUAUCCGGCUUUACUGGGUGUAAAGGGAGCGUAGACGGCAGUGCAAGUCCGGAGUGAAAGCCCGGGGCUC